UUUAAAUGUAAUUUUAAAAGCUAAAUUAGUAUUAGUUAUGUUCUUGAAAAUUAAAGAUUUUGGCGGUAUUUUAGUCUAUUCAGAGGAACCUGUUCUGUAAUCGAUAAUCCACGAUUUAAUUUACUUUGUUUAUUAAUUUACAUAUCGUCGUAAUUUGAAUAUUUUAUAAGAAUUUUAAUAUUCAAGAAUUUUUAUAAAAAAAUAAAUCAGAUCAAGGUGUAGUUUAUGAUAAAGAAGAAAUGGGUUACAAUAAAUAUAAUUUAAGAUUAUUAUUUUUAAAAUAAUAUGAAUUUGGAUUUGAGAGUAAUUUUAAUUAAUUUGUUAAUUUGAUUUUAGCUCUAAAAUAUGC
rnacentral:rRNA from 1 species